rnacentral:lncRNA from 12 species
UUCAUACUACAGCUGCUACUAUUACUUUGAAUUUCACUAAAAUAGCCUAGAUGUCAUCAGUCGGGAGACAUCGUCUUGACUAAGAUUCACCGCUGCCUCAAAUAGAGGCUUCUAUGACGCGCCCAAGCUUCACUUUAUGUACAUUGACACAGCAUAUCUCCACAUUUGUCAUUCCCCUGCCUUUCAAGAAAACUGGAUUUGAUUCUUCAUUCUUACAAAGUGGUCUUCUCCAAGGACCAGAGUAUUGAUUCACCAACUUUCCUUUUCUACUGACACCAUCUGAGGCUCUCCAAAGUGAUUCCUCUUCAGAAUUGUGGAUUUCUGGUUCUCAAAGCUUAGGAUCUACCCCAACUGAUCCAAGGGUCCAGAAUAUUUUCUUCCCAGCCAAAGAGACUAUCAGAUUUCUCCAAGAACGGGAUCAUAUCAUCUACUUCUGUAUCUCCACACAUUGUACAAACUUCUGCAAAUAUCUAAAACAAAGUUGGCCUCAGAUGGAGGAAGGGAUAGCCCCCAUGGUAG